CACGUAGUUAGCCGGGGCUUCUUAGUCAGGUACCGUCAUUUCUUUCUUCCCUGCUGAUAGAGCUUUACAUACCGAAAUACUUCUUCACUCACGCGGCGUCGCUGGAUCAGGGUUCCCCCCCAUUGUCCAAUAUUCCCCACUGCUGCCUCCCGUAGGAGUUUGGGCCGUGUCUCAGUCCCAAUGUGGCCGUUCACCCUCUCAGGCCGGCUACUGAUCGUUGCCUUGGUGGGCCCGUUACCCCGCCAACAAGCUAAUCAGACGCGGGUCCAUCUUACACCACCGGAGUUUUCAAGUAAAAGACAUGCGUCUCCUACUGUUAUGCGGUAUUAGCACCUAUUUCUAAGUGUUAUCCCCCAGUGCAAGGCAGGUUACCCACGCGUUACUCACCCGUCCGCCACUAAGAUAGCAACAUCUCCGCUCUUAGUAAACUAAUCGCUUACGAAAAUUGUUAAUCUCCGUUCACUUGCAUGUGUUAAGCACGCCGCCAGCGUUCAUCCUGACGCCAGGACUACAAACUCUAC
rnacentral:rRNA from 1 species